CGGGACUCUUAAAGCGUGUGUGGGCA
rnacentral:piRNA from 1 species